UACGAAGGGGGCUAGCGUUGUUCGGAAUUACUGGGCGUAAAGGGCGCGUAGGCGGCUCAUUUAGUCAGGCGUGAAAGCCCCGGGCUCAACCUGGGAAUUGCGUUUGAAACUGGUGGGCUUGAGGACCGGAGAGGAUAGUGGAAUUCCCAGUGUAGAGGUGAAAUUCGUAGAUAUUGGGAAGAACACCAGUGGCGAAGGCGGCUAUCUGGACGGUUACUGACGCUGAGGCGCGAAAGCGUGGGGAGCAAACAGG
rnacentral:rRNA from 1 species